rnacentral:ncRNA from 1 species
AAUACGACAUCGAUAAGAAGAGUAGCAAGUAUGGCCAUCUAAAGAGAGUCUCUGGUAGGUGAAAAGAGACGAUGACAUUUUGUGAACCACAUCUUGGAGUUGUUUUUCUGAAAUGAAAGUAAGAAAAUCCGGGUAUGCCCGUUAUAGCAACAGUCAUUGAUAGAUGACUUAUAGAGACUCUUUACUGUAAAGUAAGAGUGAAAAAAGGUGGAACCACGUAAUUCACGUCCUUUAG